CGUACGCCGUUCCGCGUUUUGCUUAGUUAGGCACAAUACAGGAGCGCGGAAUACGAGCAUAUACCUACGCGUGUAUAAUAAAUUAUUCGAUUCGGAACCGUAAGUCGAAUCCCAACAACAACUUGGUCUUAAUAAUGUCGUCGCGUGUGUAACUCGUAUAAGCGUAGCAAUGUACCGUUAUUAUAUACGUUUAACUCUAAAUAUCAAUUACCACGCGGCACCCGCCUAUACUCGUGCACCGUUUCACCGGACGGUUGCCGUGGACAUUCUAGGAGUUCGGGGUUACUCGGGCCAAGCGCGUUUGUGUCAUUAUAUUAUUGUUGUUACUCGGAACGAAUUAAUUCGAUCGUUGAUGAACCGCGUUCAAUUGAGUUGAGCGCGGAACGCAGGUCUUGAGUCGUUUCGGCCGGUGAAAUAAAACCGAAAGACCUUUAUUUGUAUCGGUCCGAAAGGCCGGCCAGUGUGGCGAGUAACGCCGACCGACUGGUCCGACCAAGUGGAUAGGACUG